CUUAUUCGAGAAUUAAACCAGCACGCGAUUCGAAUUCCUGUAAUCUUGGAUUUUGACAACGUCACAAUUUUUUUUAUUUUUUUCAAUCAGAAAAAAUAUGGAAAAUUUCAGAGAUAGGUAAUUGAAAAUGCUUCCCUACGCGAUGUUUGAUAAUCGGAACCAACCAAUUGUGUGUCUGAGGGCAUCGAGCGUGUCACUUGUAAUGAAAUUUUUGAUUAUUCGGGUAAUCGAAUUACGAAUCCUUCGUGAAACGUGAUUGAAUUAGAGAAUAUUCAGUUUACAAAACAACAAGAGUCGAUAGGAGAGGCAAAGGCACGUAGGAUUAAACGACUGUCGGAAAUGAGGCUCGUAAAAUGGCUCGUUGACAAGAAACGGAAAAUAUGCGGCAUAUCGUAAUGAAAAAUAUCCAACUUGAUCGCGGUAUCAUACUACACAGAGACAAUCAUUACACACGCAAUAUUCUAACUUCUAGUUCGGUAGUUAUCAUUACCUACGUAUAGUCUACCCAUUACGGUUACAUGUUCUUUACAAGAUAAGAUACCUUUUUGACAUGCAAUCGUAACCGCAAUCAGAUUUAAAAUCAUAUUUUCUAUAUUUUGUAUAAUAAUAAUCGAAAAAUAAACGAUUGGAAAAAUUGUA